rnacentral:rRNA from 1 species
GUGUCGUGAGAUGUUGGGUUAAGUCCCGCAACGAGCGCAACCCUUAUCCCUAGUUGCUAACAGUUCGGCUGAGAACUUUAGGGAGACUGCCGGUGAUAAACUGGAGGAAGGCAAGGACGACGUCAAGUCUUCAUGGCCCUUAUGGGCUGGGCUACACACGUGCUACAAUGGUGGUUACAAAAAGAAGCAAUGGGGCGACCCAGAGCAAAUCUCAAAAAGCCAUCUCAGUUCGGAUUGUUCUCUGCAACUCGAGAGCAUGAAGUUGGAAUCGCUAGUAAUCGUGGAUCAGAAUGCCACGGUGAAUACGUUCACGGGCCUUGUACACACCGCCCGUCAAGCCACGGGAGUUGGUUUUACCUGAAACCAGUGCGCUAACCGCAAGGAAGCACCUGUCUACGGUGGGGCCGAUGACUGGGGUUAAGUCGUAACAAGUAGCCAGGGCGAUUACAGCACGUGCGCCGUACUAUG